CUUUAACAAUCCUCUCUUUCACCUCCAAAGCCACGUGCAUCCCAAGUGGGGACAGCUCGCAACCUGGCAAGCACUGCGCCCUACCUGACCGAAUACACUGACCUUUAUCCUGAGCAUGGGCCUGCGCAGGGAGAGAAACUGGGACAGACAAAGGGCCCCCCCCUGGGAGUCUAUCUAACACGGCCUUCAGCAACCCCAGAACCUCCCCAUUAAACCCACUAUCUACCCUAUCCCCAGCUAGCGCAUGCCAAGCGCUAGCGCAACACUUACCGCUGGCUGGCUGAGGAUGCUGGGUCUCACCAUCAUCAGAACCGGAACUGGACCCCGAUCCCAGGGGUGAUUCACGGCCGGCCUCCUGGCCCGACCGCAAUCUUCCUUCCAGGGUGCUGCUGCUGCCACUCCUGUGGCCUCUCCGGCUUCCGGUGGCCCUCCUGGGCUCUUCUCGCGUGGUUUCCGGCUCACUUCCUG